rnacentral:tRNA from 1 species
GGCUCGGUAGCUUAGUUGGAAAAGCACUUGUCUAGCGUAUAAGGGUCGUGAGUUCAAUUCUCACCUGAGCUG